rnacentral:rRNA from 1 species
GAUGAACGCUGGCGGCGUGCUUAACACAUGCAAGUCGAACGAAGCACCUUGAUUUGAUUCUUCGGAUGAAGAUCUUGGUGACUGAGUGGCGGACGGGUGAGUAACGCGUGGGUAACCUGCCUCAUACAGGGGGAUAACAGUUAGAAAUGACUGCUAAUACCGCAUAAGACCACAGCACCGCAUGGUGCAGGGGUAAAAACUCCGGUGGUAUGGGAUGGAUCCGCGUCUGAUUAGGUAGUUGGUGGGGUAACGGCCUACCAAGCCGACGAUCAGUAGCCGAGCUGAGAGGGUGACCGGCCACAUUGGGACUGAGACACGGCCCAAACUCCUACGGGAGGCAGCAGUGGGGAAUAUUGCACAAUGGGGGAAAACCUGAUGCAGCGACGCCGCGUGAGCGAUGAAGUAUUUCGGUAUGUAAAGCUCUAUCAGCAGGGAAGAAAAUGACGGUACCUGACUAAGAAGCACCGGCUAAAUACGUG